GCAGUGGUGAUUCAGUGGUAGAAUUCUCACCUUCCAUGCAGGAGACCUGGGCUUGAUUCCUAGCCAAUGCA
rfam:Loxodonta africana unplaced genomic scaffold scaffold_81, whole genome shotgun sequence.